CCCUUAGAUGUUCUGGGCCGCACGCGCGCUACGCUGAUGCAUUCAACAAGCCUAGCCUUGACCGAGAGGUCUGGGUAAUCUUUGAAACUGCAUCGUGAUGGGGCUAGAUUAUUGCAAUUAUUAAUCUUCAACGAGGAAUGCCUAGUAAGCGUGAUUCAUCAAAUCGCGUUGAUUACGUCCCUGCCCUUUGUACACACCGCCCGUCGCUCCUACCGAUUGAAUGUGUUGGUGAGGAGCUCGGAUUGGCAGCAGUUGGUGGUUCGCCACCGGCUAUUGCUGAGAAGUCCUCCAAACCGCCCCAUUUAGAGGAAGGAGAAGUCGUAACA
rnacentral:rRNA from 1 species